CAGAUCCUGAUUGGAUGUUACAUUUCCAGAACCCUCCCCCCCACAUGGCAAAACGUGUUAUGUUCGUCACUGUUUUCAGACCGGGGAAGGACACGUUUUGUAGAGUUGUUCCAUAUGCUAGUUUGCAACAUUGCAGAAAAGGGUAGAGACCCUGGAGGAAAAGCUGAACUGUGUUUAUCAGAAGUAUGUUCUACACACAACAUAGACACACAUCAGCAUAUUCUGAUGGGGUUUUAAUCAGCGAUUUCCAGAGCAUCCUCACGCACUGUUGCACCUACGACACUAAUGUAGCGAGCACUAUUGGAGCUCCGCAGCAAGGCAUUUGGGUUCACUGAUUUACAGCCGGUUCCCUAUUUAGAUAUUUUUCUGCCUUCAACUUCCCCAGGCUUCCGUUUUAGGGAAGCCUUGUUCGUGACGAUGCUAUCAUGGAACAGACCUUAAGCCUGCCCUGCUGAGUAGCUAGCCCUGCCUUACUGCCUGCCCUGCUGAGUAGCAAGCCCUGCCUUACUGCCUGCCCUGCUGAGUAGCAAGCCCUGCCUUAGUGCCUGCCCUGCUGAGUAGCAAGCCCUGCCUUACUGCCUGCCCUGCUGAGUAGCAAGCCCUGCCCUGCUGAGUAGCAAGCCCUGCCCUGCUGAGUAGCAAGCCCUGCCUUACUGCCUGCCCUGCUGAGUAGCUAGCCCUGCCUUACUGCCUGCCCUGCUGAGUAGCUAGCCCUGCCUUACUGCCUGCCCUGCUGAGUAGCAAGCCCUGCCCUGCUGAGUAGCAAGCCCUGCCUUACUGCCUGCCCUGCUGAGUAGCUCUCUCCUGCUGAGAGCUCUAUCCACAGGUCUCUCUACUGGACACCAGCUCUAUCUACAGAGACCGUCGUCGUAGACAAACCAUCAGAUCAACA
ensembl:lncRNA